AGACAACACACACUCGAGUCAUAGAACAUGGAGAAUUCAAGCUGGUACUGAUCUGGAAGCAUCUCCCCUACUGACUAGCUUUCACAGUUCUAGAAGAUUCUACGCAUGCCAACCAGAGGAGGAAAAUAAACUUCGUUCUUCCACAGUUGGGAGCCUUGUGAGUUCCACUGACAAUCUGCCUGUGGAUGGUUGAUUAAGACCCAACCAACUGGUUAAUGUGCUUAAGAGAUGCCAGAGUGCUUAGCCCUGAAAUGGAACAUCAGUACCACAUCCCUUCCUCCAGACUCAGAGAUCGUGAUGGAAGACAGAGCAGAAAGUUUACAGGAACCAUACGCAGUCUGAUAACCUGUGGACAACAAGGAAAACACUUUGUGAGAUUUCUGCAAGAAUUAAUGACCUCUCAGGAACGCCAUAUAAGCUCUUGCCCCUGCUGCCUUUCCAAGAUGUAAUUGGGAUGAAAGCCUUCCAUGUUUUCAUCCGUCUCGCUUGUUGCCAGAGGAGCUCUUUCCCUGUCAAUGUCUCUCAAGUUAAGGCGGCAGCAGAACGAGAUUUCGCGUGGACUCAGAACUACCUCGAGACCCUCACUACCUCCUCCCGCCAUCUUCCGGAGACGCAGGUUAGCGCUGAGCUCCAAGUCCUCGCCAGCUUUCCCCGCCAAGCGGUCCUCAGCCUCCAGGCCGGUGGAAACUACAACUCCCAGAAUCCCUAGCGGGGCGGGAGGAAGGCGGGGAGCGUACAAAGCGGCGCUGGAAGCUAGCGGCAGUGAGGCCGCGCUUGGGGUCCGGCAGCUCUACGUCCCCGCGGCCCGAGGCGUCAGCUGCGUGGGCGCUCACGCAGGGCGGGUCGCGCGGUGCCGGGCGAGAGGGAAGUCGUGGCGGCGGCGUCGGCGUCGGGAACAGCAGCGGCGGCGGGAGCGUGGUGCUGACAGGCCGUGGGAGAAAUGGGAGACCCAGGGCCGGAGAUAAUAGAAUCUGUCCCACCAGCUGGGCCCGAGCCAUCAGAGUCAACGGCGGAUGAAAACGAAGAUGACAUUCAGUUUGUUAGUGAAGGACCGUUAAGACCCGUUCUUGAAUAUAUUGAUCUGGUCAGCAGUGAUGAUGAAGAGCCUAGUACCUCUCACAGUGAUAGAAUGCCUGAAUCUAAGGUGCCAUCCUCUGAGAAUCAUCGCCCAGAAAUGUGCUCUAGCUGCAGUGUUCCUCUUCCCAUUGGAGACAGCAGUUCCUCCUCUGGGAGCUGUGCCAGCAGUCCACAAAGAAUAGUUUCUCAACCUUCUUCUGUUGAGAACCCACUGGAGAACCAGAAAAAUGAUCAGAAUAAUUCCGAUGCUAGUGUCUCUGAAAAAGAGACACUCAAAUCACAAAGUGACCAGACUCUGCCUUCAGCCCAGGAGGCUUUGGCUUUUUCUGAGGUCAAAGAGGAUUUACCUGGCACAAUGUCUUCAACUUCACAGAGUGGACAGGAUGCCAUCCUGUAUCUCCAGACACAAGUGGCUGAGAUGUCCCGAGUCAUACGUGAUCUGCAGUCCAGGAGUUGUUUUAGAUUUCAUCAUUCUAGGUCAAGUGAGAGCUCGUCAGUUCCUUGGGAUAUCCCCGCCUCCAAGGAGGACAGUUUAUCCACAGUCGAAGAGGAGGGUGACUGCAAGUCUCCAUCAGCUGAUGACAAAGGGCAGCCACCUGACCCCAUGCAGUCUAGUUUCACAGGUCUUUUGAAGAGAAUGGAACAAAGGGGUGUUAUAAAGAGGGUGACAUUCCAAUCUGAAGCCGAAACUUGUGAGGGGAAGCCUGAUUGGAUGACCUCUAAAAAACGCUUGGUUCCCCCACUGCAUCCUCUUUUGAGAAUUGCCACCACAGAAGUUUUUAAAGACCCUGCUGAUUGCCAUCCUUCUUCCUUCAUGGGACACAGGGUUUAUCCUGUGGCCAAGGAUACCUCUCCUUUCCAGCCAAAUCCACCAGCUGAGGGACCCAUCAUAGAUGUAUUAGAACAUAGCAAAAGAGGAAACACAACAUCUCCUUUAGACUCUACCUCAAAAGAAAUGGAGGUCAUGGGCUGCAGGUUCUACCAUGCUGCUUCCAUCGCAGCCCGGGCUGCUAGCUACAUGGCCUAUAUGACGCAGUACCAACGUAAACUGUGGGAAGACAUGGAAGAUCUGGUUCACGACCCGGAGUUUGAUCGUGGGAAAGCAAGGUGUAUAAUAUCUGAUGGCAUGGAUGCAGGCCUUUGGCAGCUUUGUACCACUAGGGACAUAAUGGACUCUGUAGUCAGAGUUAUGGCCAUGGCAGUAGACUAUAGAAGACAGGCCUGGCUCCGGCUAACAUCUCUCACUAAGAAAACCCAGGAGAAGAUCUUACAUUUGCCCUUUGAUGGUACAUCUCUUUUUGGACAAGAUGUGAAUGCUAUUGUUGCAGAAGACAAUAGUAUUAAAGAAAAUGACUAUAAGGACCACAGUAAAUACUAUACUCAGCAUCGGUACUUUUAUAGUCAUGAUCAGAAAGCACACUACCACAACAGAGGGUACUCCAAAGGGGAUUGGUACAAACCCCGGAAUCACCCCUAUAGAUAUAGAAAAAAGGGAGAGUCUCCAGAACGACAUGGGUAUAAGAACUAAUGCUUUGACUCUGGUGGUUUAGCAGAUUAGCCUUCCAAGAUUUUACCUGUUUUUCCCCAGGUUGAAGGUCAUCUCAAAAACAUGAGUGCAUGUCUAGAAUAAUCACAGCUGAUGUUUGAGUUCUAGACUUUUAGAAUGAAGUAUAUAUAAAAAGACUUAAACUUUAUUGGCCAAAUGGAGACUUUGUUCUAAGGAGUGUUGGAUAGAGGUUUACACAGUAUUUUUGGUCCAGAAGCGUACUCAGGAAUCUUCUGGAAUUAAAAGAAAAUACAUAGAUUCAUGCCUCAGGAGAAUCUUGUUGGUAAACUGAGGACUAGCAGAGUUUUGGAUCUGGAAACAAUAGCUACUAGAUCAGUGUUUACUAAGACUGAAGUGUAAAACCUCCAUUUGAGGUCAUCAUUGCUUCUGGAACUUCAGGAUUCAGCUCAAUGGGUCAUCAAAAAAUGAUAGAUUUGUUACAUACAAUCCCGAUGUUAAGAUGAUCAGCUACCAUAGUUCAUUACUGUUCUCAAGCUCUGUGAGACUUCAGAAUUAACCCUGAAGCUAUGUGUCUGCUGGAAUUCAUUAAACAUUUGCCAAAUCCAGUAUACUUAUAACUGGGUGACUAAAUGUCACAGGUCUACUUUUGGACUUGAUAUGGAAAAAAUAUGGAAAAAAUAAUACCUGUAACAUCACUGUAGAAAAGAUAAACUGUCUUCAUCCUGACUAUGAUGGGCUACCCACCAUACCAUCGCUACGCAUAGCACUGCAUGUGAGAUAGCUUCGUUGUCAUCAGUUCUACUAGUCUCUGACUUACCAAGCUCUCAUAUGAACCACCCGUGAGACUCAGGCAUAGAAGUCUCUCUAAUGUGGGCCCUUGAGUGAGAUGGCCUUCUUAAACCUGUCUCCUAAGCAGUUGGUUCUUUUGAGCUGGAUAGUGCAUUGCAUUCUCACAGUAGACAGAUGCCUCAUCAUGGCCCUGGAAAUACAGAAUAUUCUUUCUAUCAUCCAGGCAUGCAAAUGUGAACUCUUUAAGAGCAAGAAUUUCAAACAUGCCUGACAAUCUGAUCUCUCUUGAAAUAAAGAGGGAUGCCAUUAGUCUAGACUUCCUUGUGAAAUCCUUGAUACAUGAAGUGUGACUGGUUGUUUUCAAGAUACACAGAUGUUUCUGGAUAUCUAGAUAAUAAUUCCUUUUAUUGAGUUCUUAAAAGGCUGGAAUCAAGACUUCAGUGACAUGUUCUUGGUUAAGUGGUUAAUUUAUCAUGUAAUCUAAUUGGACUCACUCUGAGAUGACUUAACAUUUUGCUCCCAAUAAUAACUCCACCUUUUUGGAGCUGGCAGCAGAUACCUCAGUUAUAUUAAUGUCCCACAGUAUCAUCUCUUUAAUCUCAAGGCAAUGGCUGUAUGAUAUACCAGCCCCUAUUUCCCUGUCUUCACAGCAUGACAAAGUAAAGAAAAUGUCAAGUUUGAGGAGAUCUGAACACUUAACCUAAUGUAACUUGGCAGCCAAAAAAUAAUUUUUUCACAGAUGUAAUUCUGUGACCUCUUGGUUAUUCAAACAUCUGCUUUUUCCUAGUUUUUAAUCUGCUUGAUCAAAAUGUUUUAGGUAUAUACUAUUAAUGGAAUAUAGCACUGUCUUAAGGGUUUAUGUGGUUUCUGUUUCUUCUAGUAGUUGACGUUUUCUGUGAUGCUCACCCUUUGUAAUUCAUUAGAAAACUUCCUACUUUCAUACCCAUAUUCAGCAGCCUACUUAACCUACAUUUCUUCUUUUUUGUUUUUGAGACAGGGUCUUAUUACAUACACCGAACAGGCCCACAACUUGAUAAGUAGUACAGGUUGGCCUUGAACCCAUUGGGAUCUGCCUCCUGAGUGCGGGAAGUAAAGACGUGUGCCACUAGGCCAAGCUGCUGAUUUUCAUUUGUGCCAUAUAGAUCGAAGGCACUAGUUUCCCACUUUGGAAGAUGCUACUUUACCAGAUAAUUUUAGUACUAGUCCUGUUUUAUUUGUAGACCAAACAUGAACUAGUUUAUCAAGAUUGUUUAGCAAAUUUAACUGAAUUGUAUCUAUAGUUAAUAUUUACCUAAUUUGUCUGUAUUGCCCAUAAAAGUUUACUUUGACUUUCUUAGGGUCUACCAGGGUUCUUUAGAAUGUUUCUGAAACAAACUCCAGAAAAACUGACUUUUUUGUAGCUUGUCCUCAAUGCUCUUCAAAGGGGUAGACUUUAGUCCAUAACUAGCAGUGCAGUGCUCCUCUGAGAAAGGGGUAGCCACCCGCCCAGACCUCACUGGAGAAAGUCUGCAUGUGGCUUUGUGCAGCUCUUUAACCAGCUGGGGCUGCUUCCGCUCGUUUGUUCUUUCCCAUCUUGCUCUGAGUUAGAUGCUACACAUCACAUGUGAGUUAUGAGAUACUCUUGUUUAAAAUCAAGACAAAAUGAUGAUUGGAGAUGUGUUCUUUGAAACUGUUUGGCACGCCCACCUAAUUUAUUUGUACCAAUCCCUGCUUUAUAGUAAACAGCAACAAAAAAGCACAUAAAAUUUAGCACUUUAACAAUUUUGACAUUAUUGUACAGCUCUUAAGUAUUUUAAGACAGCACUACUCUCGUCUUAGAUGUUUGUGUUCAUGAAUGAAAGUAACAUUUCUUGACCACUAAUUGAUAAACCCAAGCAACUCCAAAGAAUUGAGUUUUUCUGAAAGUGGAAAGUGUCGGAAAAUCACCAAAUUGGUGAUCAGACAGAGGACCGAGUAGAAGUGCUUGGCAGCUGAGUGGUUGUGGACAGUGCAGUAGUGUAGGAACGCUUAGCUCUAGUUACUUGACUCAGUAAUAUUCCAGUGUCCUUCACUUGUUUGUUUCUCUCUCUCUUUAAUCUGGCAUCCUUGACUGAUGAUGGUGUAAAAGUAAAAGUUGGUACUUGAUCUAAUGAGACACCCCAGUAGACAGCUCAAGUAGAAGGUAGCAUUUAGAUUGAACCAGAUGGAUAUUUAGAUUGUGUCUACCGUGUGCACAGCCUGCAUCAGAACUCCCAUUAGGUUGAUUUUUCAGUGAGACUACCCCUUUUUUUUCUAGACACCUUGAAUAGUGUCAGUUUAAUGAUUUGGUUUUUCCUUUCAUUCAAAAUGUCAUCUCUUGACUAGACAUAAGAUGUAUUUGGAGACAAUAUGAUUUUUGUAGUUAUUAUAUAUAGAGAAAUACUAUUUCCAUUUAUUGUUAUAUAAAGUGCCUUUUUAAAUUUCACUCUUAUGUUUAAGACCUAACCUUUGAUGUGGUAUUUAUGUGACUUCUGUACAGUGGUUUACUCUUAGUUUAUUAUCUUUAUUAUCUGUACAAUUGCACUAUUUAAAUGGACUCCUUCUGAAUCCUAAUUUGUUCUCCUUAUAGCACUGUUACUAAUUUCAGAAGGUUAUAGAGUAAAGUUCCCUCUUACCAUCAUAGAAGUUGUUUUUAGUUUUAGUGGCUGGUUCUGUUUUCUAGACAUAAAGUAGCUCUUUGAUGUCUUUGCAUGUUCUAGAUUGUUGUGAUUGAGUCAUCUGUCUUGUAUCUAACCUCGUUCAUAGCCAUAGCAGCACCGCUUAUAUCUGCUAAAUGGAUGUGUUUCCUGGGACAGACAAAGCAAGGACGCUAAAACAGUGAAGUUGGUGGCACUGUGUAUUUAUAGAGUAUUCUGUGGCAGCUUCCUUAUCAGUGUAAUGACUUCCUUUUUUAAACUGGCAGCUUCUUUAUCAGUAUAGUUGCAUUUAUUUACUUAGCCUUCAAAAUGUCAUUUUGAGGGCAGUAUAUACUCUUUCAGGCUACUUUACUGCAUUAUACCUAAGUGACCUGAUUGAUAGUGUCCUUAAGGGCCCGAUACAUCCAGGAUAUAUACCUCUCAGGUGUUAUAAGCAAGGAGGUUUGAAAAGACAGAGUCCGUCCAGAAUUCCCCUCUCUCUAUAGAAUUGCAUACCAAUUAGGGUGAACAUAGAGAUUAGCAGCGUAUUCACCAUUCUUGAAGUUAAUUGGGAUUCUGCUGAAGGCUUAAAAUUAUGGGUUAGAUCUCUUUAGAAAUAGAGGAUUGCAAUAACUAAAAACUUCUUUUCUUUAAUGUGAGGCGUAUUUUGCCCCAGUCUUACACUGUCUAGUUCCUGUUUUUUGAAAUUUACCCUUAUGUACUUAAUGUUGGUGGCUAGACCGAUACCUGAUUGUCACUGUGGGUACAUCUUAUGCAUGUCAUUUAAUCGGUCAGAUUGGUUCUAUAUGGUUUUUAGUGGACAAACUAGUCAGUUCUUUUCAUUUAAAUUUUAGAGGAAGUUACCAGUAAGUAACUGUUGAUUAUUGUAUUGAAUGCAAAUCUUUCUUCUCAUAUUUAACAAGUUUUAUAAACCAUUAAAAUGUAUGGCGUUUCCCUUCCUGAAGGUUUUUGAGAAUGCUGUUUUAUUAAACCCUUUUUCUCUUAUUGCUGGAGCCCCAUUUUUGUACUCGUGUGUCAUUAUUUAUUUUACUUUAUUAUAGUGCACUUUUGUAACAUUUGGAGCAUUGAGAUCGUACUCCUGGAGCGUGUACUCAUCUGCUGUGGGAUGUACAGGUGGCCUCAAUUCAGUUGUGUCUGACUACGGGGCCUUAUCUAGCUGCUCAGGCUGCCCCAGAUGUGAUUCUCAUGGCUCCUGGGGGCAGGGCUUCAGGGCUGCGGCACCUCGCUGGGCUUUUAGUCCUGUCCUCUUGGUGAGGGCUUGUGAUUUUGAUCUCUUUCCCCAGAACCUCUUUCCAAAAGGAAGUCUGAUUUCCCCCCUCAUCUCUUUGAUAUUGGUAUUUUUAAUUCUACCAUUAUAUGCUUAACGAAAAUGUUAUAUGUGUGUGUGGGAGGGGUGUGUCUGCGUAUAGUGUGUGUACAUAUCAUGUGGAGACCAGAGGUUAAUGUCAGGUGUCUUCUUUAUAUACUUGACAUGUUUUUUGUUUCUUUAAGACAGGGUCUUUUACUGAACAGUGAGUUCACAGGGUUGGCUAGAGUGGUUAGCUAGGGAGGUCCAGGGAUUUCCCAUCCCACCCCGACUUCACACUGGAUUACAGACGCAUACCCCUGUGCCCCAUACUCUACAUGGGUAUUGCAGUACUUGGGUCCUCGUACUUAUGUGGCAAGCACUUUAUCUGUUGAGCCAUUUCCCCACCUCUUCCUUGCUUGCUUGUUUCUUUCUCCCUCUCUCCCCCAUCACCCUUCCCUCACUCCUCUUUUCUUCCCCAGCCACUCCACCAACCCACUAGCCAAGUGUUUGAUAUGAAUUUAUAUAUUUAAAUGUCAUUUAAUUUGUAUUUUUAAUAGUCAUAAGCAUUUGUGGUAAGAAUGUUUUUAGUUUUCUCUAAAAUCCUUAGAAUUGCACAGGGAUAUAGGAGUGAAGCUCAGUGGGGAUAGUACUGACUAAUGUGCAGAAAACCCUGGGCUCAGACUGCUUAAACCGGUCAUGGGGCUCUAUGUCUGUAAACCCUGCACUUAGAGUGGAGGUCAGGAGGAUCAGAAGGUCAAGAUCAUCCUUAGCUAUGUAUCAAAUUCAUGGUUCUCAGGGUCUACAUGGGACCUUGUCUCAAAAAGGGUAGGAAAAAUCAUAGCCAGCUGAGUCUCAAGUGGUCCCUGACUGUUGAACUUCAUGUAUUUUAUAAUGUCCCAUUCAAUGGCAUUUUCGUAGUUUAAAUGUAUUGUUAUUUAUUUAUUUAUUUAUUUAUUUAUUUAUUUAUUGUUGUCACUGCUGUUGGUUUUGUCUUUCUAGUGUCUUCUGUAGUCUAGGUUGUCUCUGAAUUCAAGAUGAGUCCACCUCACUUUGCCAAGUCCUGGGGUUACAGGAGUGAGUCAUUGUGCAGGCUUCACAGAUACAUUCUGUAUAUAGUAUUAGGGUUGAAUUUAGUAUCAUACAGUUAAUUUAUACCACCGCUCUGAUAUUUCUCUUAAAGUUAACCAAUCUUUGGGUUUUAAGGGCUUUACUAGUUUUUUGAGGGAGCUAUUACAGAUAGUAUAUUGGGUGUUUUGAGGUCAGAGUUCUUGGGUUUCUCUUAGAACUCUGAAGACCUCAGGCUUUGUUUUCCCAUAUUAUAGUGUGUCUGAUAUCCUUGACUCCUCUCUUUGGAAUAAAUAAAAAUAAAUUUAUAUUUGGUGAUUUUUUUUUCCAACUUUAAAUGUCUCAAGCGUGGUGGUUAGAGGCUCUCUUAGUCCUUUUACAAGGCCAGCUUCUCACAUGCUCCUUUCUUCAUGCGCUGUAUCCCGUGCCUGCUGCUCUCUUUCAGUAUCUGUGAGAGUGACCCAUUACAGCAGUCCCUUUGAAGGAACAGUUAGCACUCUCACUUUUGUCUGUCAUAGCAGACUCACACUCCUUGGAUUUAAAAUGCAGUUUUCAAGUUCAGUAACUAUCAUGCUUAGGGACCCUUUGCAUCUCUCUCAGUUAGUGAGGCGACAUUGACCAAAAGAGUGGCUGAAUGAAAUGACUCCAGGUCUUUAAGGCACAAGUUGUAUUCUUGUUGCUUUGCGUUGGGGUUGGAGGGUGUGUUUUCAUAUUUGGUCUCACUGAAUCACCCAGACUGGCUUAGGACUUGGUGCAGUACUCCUGCUUUAAGUGAUGGGAUUCCAAGUCUUGUUUGAAAAAGUAUUUGAUUGCUAGCUAGGUAGGGUGGGAAUUAAUACCUUUAAUUCCCAGCAUUUUGAAGGCAGAUGCAGGUCGGUCCACAUGACCUGUUCCAGGUCAACCAAGGAUACAUAGUGGAACGCUGUCUCAAAAAAAAAAAAAGAAAGAAAGAAAGAAAAGAAAAUCAACAAUAACAAAAUACUUUUUUGUUGUGGCAGUUUUCCUGCUUGAAGCGCAGCCCAUUCCUUAAUAAGUAAAAUACACUUAAUGUGUAAAUAGUUCAUUCAGAUUCUUAGCACAGAAUUUUUUGUGUGUUUGUGUGUGUUGAUGUUGCUUUUUUUUUUUUUUUUUUUUUUUUUUUGGUUCUUUUUUUCGGAGCUGGGGACCGAACCCAGGCCUUGCGCUUCCCAGGUAAGCGCUCUACCACUGAGCUAAAUCCCCAGCCCCGUGUUGAUGUUUCUUUAAUGACCUGAAAUAGCUCUGUGUGUUGUGAAUGGUUGGAUCACCUUGAUCUUGAUUGUGUUGAGUUUAAUUGUCAGCUUCCUGUCUGGAAGAAAGGGAGGGAAAGAACAUAUCCUGUGUGUACUAAGCAUUCUUGCCCAUACCUUCAUCUCUGCAGAUAUGGACAUGGAACUUAAGAGUCAUUCAGUAAUUUGUUCAAGUGGUGUGCCUCCACAUUGACGUUGACUCCCCCAGGCCUCAGGUCACAUGCUGUCAUGUCUUUGUAGACAAAUCUUUUUCUGUCCAUGGCUGUAUAUGCACUCUUGUUACUUGGUACUUGUCGGAAUAUCCAGGUCUUUCUCGCUCUUCCAUUGAGGUGUCCUUGUUCUGAUUAAGGCUGCUGUUACAGUGCUCAUGGCUUCUGUUCAACAAGGCACUCAUGGUCCACUCGAAUAACCAGUCGUUCUGGUUAUAAUUCUUACUGCCUACUUUUUUGUACCAUUUUCCUUUAGUGAAACAAAGGUAUAAUGGUGCAAAGGAUUGAUUUUUUAAGACACUAAAGACUUUGACCUCAGCUUCAGUUUCCCUACUUUAAGGUACUAACUGGGUGUGGUGGCACAUACCUGUAGAUGCUAGCAUUGGGAGGCAGACACAGGCUGGUCUACAGAGUAAGUUCAGGAUAGUCAGAGCUACAUAGACAGACCUUGUCUCAAAAUAAAAUAAAUACGUAUAAAGUAAUAACUAGAAUACAUUUAAAAACACUAAAACCCAAUGCAGACUUAAUUUUACAACUAAUUUUGAUGUUCCUAAUUCUUAGACUUUCUAUAUUGGGUAUUGAGUGGAUGAAUCCUUUUUUUUUUUUUCUUUUAAGAUUUCUUACUUGCUUGCUAUGAAUCUUUAUUUACUCCCUCCUGCUAUUCUGAGUCUUCCCCACAACUUAAUGGCUCUUUAAAAACAUUUCCCACUGUAUAAGGUCAUCCUUUGGGCAUGGGCAGCCCACCAGUAGCCAGCCCAGUACACACUGUGCAGGCAAGGGCCAAGAAAGGUAUGGGUAUACUGAAGGCUAGUCAUGCUCUUAUGUGGGGCCCUGUCUCCAAACUGAAGCUGAGGCAUUCACAGUCAAAUGCCAGUGCACUAUAGAAACUACUUCGUUAGAGGAAGGCCCGUGGUGAUCCUGGAGAAGGCCUGGAGAAGGCCAGCUGCAGGUCAGGAAGUUCUUCUACCAGCUGGCUCAGCCGAGCUUUGGGGAUGUCAUUGUACUCUUGUCUGUUGGAGAAACAGCCAUGCCUUUAGGUGGAAGAGCUGACUGACUCAUGCACAGGUGAGAUGGCCUUGAGUGGCCCUGGCUUCAGAGCUGUUAAGAGCAGCUGAUAGAGGACAGAAAUGGAGGAAGCUAAACUGCGGAAAGGAUGAGUUAUACAUGAAAAUGUCUUGGUUCUUAGGACUCAAAGUAGUGUUUCAGUGGAGGCUAUGGAGCAGUCCAGAGAUUGUUUUAAACUCUGAUGAAACAUUUUAAGCCCAAAGAAAGACCUUAGCAUUGCCUUUCUGACCUAGGGUAGCGUAAACCAUGACAGAGAAUUUAGGACCAUUGGAGCGAAAGCACAGAAGACAGGCAAUGUGGUUGUCCAUCAUGGCUACAGCUACACAGGGUCUCUUCAUCCAGCACCUUCCUCAGCAGCUAAAUGUGGCUAAUAUCUCUCAGUGCUGACUUAGGAAAUUUCUGGGAAGACUUGGAGAGAAUGAACAUUUGUAAGACUGUUGUAAUUGGCAUCUGUAGGUGUUUUAUAGGAACUAUAAACCUGGUGCUAGUGGUAAUUCUGGUAGCCCCAACCACUUUUUACCAACUACUUUUUUUUUUUUAACUUGUUCCUGAUACAGGAUCUCAUGUAGCCCAUGCUGUCUUGAACACAGUGUAUAGCUGAGGAUAAUCUAGAAUUUUUUAUUCUCCUGCCUCCACCUCUUGAGUGCUAGGGUACGGACUUGAGUAGCCAACUAUGCUUGGUUUAUGCUCUGGUGGGGCUCAAACUUGAGCUUUGUUCAUGGCAGGUAGGCAGGUAAGCACCUUGCCAGCUCAUACAUUCCAAGCCCUUUUCCUUUUGGAGACAGGGCCCACUCUAUAGCUCAGGUUAACCUCAGUCUGCAGUGGUCCUCUGUUUCAGCCUCCCGAGUGUGGGAAUCACUGGCAUGAGCCACUGUGCCUACUCCUCUUCCCUCUGUCUUUUCUCCCUGCCUCGCUUUCUCCCCACCCCUUCUUUCUCUGUCAGAGGCAUCACAGUGGCACUCAGGGUUGAAAAGUAGCUCCUUUAUCACCAUUUUACAUAUUCCAAGAUAGUUAGAAAUUCCUCCUUAAAUCCCAAAGUUGUAGAAACGAACAUACACAUGUGUUUCCUGUGCUAAGAGAGUCUGUCAUUAGAAAAAGGAUUAUAGGAAGAUACUAACAAUUUGCUCAACAGACACAACAGAUAGAAUCUUACUUAAGGUUUGGUGGUACCGGCUUCCUUAGUGGCAUUACAAAAUAGAAUAUGUGGGGCAUAUCUGCAUGUUUGUUUUUGACGUUAUUUAUAUAAAGCAGAUAAUCUGUGUAUUUUGUAUUUGUGAACAACUGGAGUGUGAGGGAGAUGGCUUUGUAAAAAGGGUUUCUUGGUUUCAGAAUUAUUGCUGGGGAUCGUGAAUAUAUACUGUACUGCGAUGUGUUUAUCUCCUGCUUUAUCUGUAUUUGAUAUAAAAUUCUUGAGAAAACUUGCUGCCUUUCAAACUGUUUCUUUGGGAUGAGGCUUAAAUCGUAAAUUGGGAAAAAAAGUGGCUUCUGGUCCCCAGAACUUUGGGGUUUGGAGACAGAGCUUUAGAAUGGUGGUGACAAAGGCUUGAGUUGUUAAUGCCUUUGUUUCAGGGAAUCUUCCCAACCUCCUGUGAUAGUCAGGGGAGAGGGAGAGGGAGAGGGAGAGGGAGGAGGGAGGGAGCACAGGAGGAAGGAGGCAGUUUUACUGGGACAACAGUACAGAGACAGGUUGCAGAGAGAACAAGCUAGACACAGGUGAAGAGAGAAGGAGCCAGAGAACAAGAAGGAUCCAGAAGAUUGGAACGUAUUGUCAGGACUAGUUUGAGGCAAUUCAAGAGAGGCUGAGAGACGACAGAUUGAGUCAUCGGGAAGAGGCAUUUUGAGUCAGAACAGCUGACUUGGCCAACCAGCCAGAGCUCAGAAAGAACAAGAAAGGAUGACCUUACUUAGCAGAGAAUUUUAAACACAAAGACUAUAUAGACCAUCAGAAGGAUAAAGUUGCUUUAACAUUGGCUCGCCUGGCCCGCCAUGUUGAAGUGGAAAAACAACAAAAAGAAGAGAAGAACAGGGCAUUCAGGG